CCUUAAAGCGUCAUUGGCACAAGUGAAAGAGAGCCAUGUGGAACAUUUUUGGGGAACAUAUUGUAGAUCCGGACUGUCUUCGGCUGCAAAUAAGCAACCAUUUGCGGGCACAUCUUGUUUAUUUCUGAAAUAGAAGUCUUCCAGUGGGAUUUUCUUCUUGCUCAAGCACCACAGGUUAGAUAAAUGCUAGAUGCAAAUGAAGAUUUCAGAAGAAAAGCCAUUUUAGAGACGUGGUUGUCUUGGAAGGUUCUGAAUGUCAAUUUAGUUAGAAAAUUACAUAGCAAUGAAAUAA